rnacentral:rRNA from 1 species
AUUGAACGCUGGCGGCAGGCCUAACACAUGCAAGUCGAACGAGUGGCGGACGGGUGAGUAAUGUCUGGGCAACUGCCUGAUGGAGGGGGAUAACUACUGGAAACGGUAGCCAAUACCCCAUACCAUCAGAUGUGCCCAGAUGGGAUUAGCUUGUGGGUGGGGUAACGGCGCACCAAGGCGACGUCCCCUAGCUGGGCUGAGAGGAUGACCAGCCACACUGGAACUGGGACACGGUCCAGACUCCUACGGGAGGCAGCAGUGGGUAAUAUUGCACAAUGGGCGCAAGCCUGAUGCAGCCAUGCCGCGUGUAUGAAGAGGGCCUUCGGGUUGUAAAGUACUUUCAGCGGGGAGGCGUUACCCGCAGAAGAAGCACCGGCUAACUCCGUGCCAGCAGCCGCGGUAAUAC